rnacentral:rRNA from 1 species
CCUUCGGGUGGGCAGCAGUGAGGAAUAUUGGUCAAUGGACGAGAGUCUGAACCAGCCAAGUAGCGUGAAGGAUGACUGCCCUAUGGGUUGUAAACUUCUUUUAUAAAGGAAUAAAACGAGGCACAUGUGCCGUCUUGCAUGAACUUAAUGAAUAAGGAUCGGCUAACUCCGUGCCAGCAGCCGCGGUAAUACGUAGGAUCCGAGCGUGAUCCGAUUUAGUUGGGUUUAAAGGGAGCGUAGAAGGGUUGUUUAGUCAGUGGUGAAAGUUUGCGGCUCAACCGUAAAAGUGCAAUUGAUACUGGCAGUCUUGAGUACACUUGAGGUAGGCGGAAUUCGUGGUGUAGCGGUGAAAUGCUUAGAUAUCACGAAGAACCCCGAUUGCGAAGGCAGCUUACUAAACUGUGACUGACAUUGAUGCUCGAAAGUGUGGGUAUCAAACAGGAUUAGAUACCCGGGUAGUC